GGGUUGUGAGGUUAAGCGACUAAGCGUACACGGUGGAUGCCCUGGCAGUCAGAGGCGAUGAAGGACGUGCUAAUCUGCGAUAAGCGUCGGUAAGGUGAUAUGAACCGUUAUAACCGGCGAUUUCCGAAUGGGGAAACCCAGUGUGAUUCGUCACACUAUCAUUACGUGAAUACAUAGCGUAAUGAAGCGAACCGGGGGAACUGAAACAUCUAAGUACCCCGAGGAAAAGAAAUCAACCGAGAUUCCCCCAGUAGCGGCGAGCGAACGGGGAGCAGCCCAGAGUCUGAAUCAGCUUGUGUGUUAGUGGAACGGUCUGGAAAGUCCGACGGUACAGGGUGAUAGUCCCGUACACCAAAAUGCACAGGUUGUGAACUCGAAGAGUAGGGCGGGACACGUGGUAUCCUGUCUGAAUAUGGGGGGACCAUCCUCCAAGGCUAAAUACUCCUGACUGACCGAUAGUGAACCAGUACCGUGAGGGAAAGGCGAAAAGAACCCCGGCGAGGGGAGUGAAAAAGAACCUGAAACCGUGUACGUACAAGCAGUGGGAGCAUCCUUUUGGGUGUGACUGCGUACCUUUUGUAUAAUGGGUCAGCGACUUAUAUUCUGUAGCAAGGUUAACCGUAUAGGGGAGCCGAAGGGAAACCGAGUCUUAACUGGGCGUUAAGUUGCAGGGUAUAGACCCGAAACCCGGUGAUCUAGCCAUGGGCAGGUUGAAGGUUGGGUAACACUAACUGGAGGACCGAACCGACUAAUGUUGAAAAAUUAGCGGAUGACUUGUGGCUGGGGGUGAAAGGCCAAUCAAACCGGGAGAUAGCUGGUUCUCCCCGAAAGCUAUUUAGGUAGCGCCUCGUGAAUUCAUCUUCGGGGGUAGAGCACUGUUUCGGCUAGGGGGUCAUCCCGACUUACCAACCCGAUGCAAACUGCGAAUACCGAAGAAUGUUAUCACGGGAGACACACGGCGGGUGCUAACGUCCGUCGUGAAGAGGGAAACAACCCAGACCGCCAGCUAAGGUCCCAAAGUCAUGGUUAAGUGGGAAACGAUGUGGGAAGGCACAGACAGCCAGGAUGUUGGCUUAGAAGCAGCCAUCAUUUAAAGAAAGCGUAAUAGCUCACUGGUCGAGUCGGCCUGCGCGGAAGAUGUAACGGGGCUAAACCAUGCACCGAAGCUGCGGCAGCGACACUAUGUGUUGUUGGGUAGGGGAGCGUUCUGUAAGCCGUUGAAGGUGUAUCGUGAGGUAUGCUGGAGGUAUCAGAAGUGCGAAUGCUGACAUAAGUAACGAUAAUGCGGGUGAAAAACCCGCACGCCGGAAGACCAAGGGUUCCUGUCCAACGUUAAUCGGGGCAGGGUGAGUCGACCCCUAAGGCGAGGCCGAAAGGCGUAGUCGAUGGGAAACAGGUUAAUAUUCCUGUACUUGGUGUUACUGCGAAGGGGGGACGGAGAAGGCUAUGUUAGCCGGGCGACGGUUGUCCCGGUUUAAGCAUGUAGGCGGAGGUUCCAGGUAAAUCCGGUACCUUUUUAACGCUGAGGUGUGAUGACGAGGCACUACGGUGCUGAAGUAACAAAUGCCCUGCUUCCAGGAAAAGCCUCUAAGCAUCAGGUAACACGAAAUCGUACCCCAAACCGACACAGGUGGUCAGGUAGAGAAUACCAAGGCGCUUGAGAGAACUCGGGUGAAGGAACUAGGCAAAAUGGUGCCGUAACUUCGGGAGAAGGCACGCUGAUAUGUAGGUGAAGUGAUUUACUCAUGGAGCUGAAAUCAGUCGAAGAUACCAGCUGGCUGCAACUGUUUAUUAAAAACACAGCACUGUGCAAACACGAAAGUGGACGUAUACGGUGUGACGCCUGCCCGGUGCCGGAAGGUUAAUUGAUGGGGUUAUCCGUAAGGAGAAGCUCUUGAUCGAAGCCCCGGUAAACGGCGGCCGUAACUAUAACGGUCCUAAGGUAGCGAAAUUCCUUGUCGGGUAAGUUCCGACCUGCACGAAUGGCGUAAUGAUGGCCAGGCUGUCUCCACCCGAGACUCAGUGAAAUUGAACUCGCUGUGAAGAUGCAGUGUACCCGCGGCAAGACGGAAAGACCCCGUGAACCUUUACUAUAGCUUGACACUGAACACUGGUCCUUGAUGUGUAGGAUAGGUGGGAGGCUUUGAAGUGUGGACGCCAGUCUGCAUGGAGCCAUCCUUGAAAUACCACCCUUUAAUGGCUGGUGUUCUAACGUGGACCCGUAAUCCGGGUUGCGGACAGUGUCUGGUGGGUAGUUUGACUGGGGCGGUCUCCUCCUAAAGAGUAACGGAGGAGCACGAAGGUUAGCUAAUCCUGGUCGGACAUCAGGAGGUUAGUGCAAAGGCAUAAGCUAGCUUGACUGCGAGAGUGACGGCUCGAGCAGGUGCGAAAGCAGGUCUUAGUGAUCCGGUGGUUCUGAAUGGAAGGGCCAUCGCUCAACGGAUAAAAGGUACUCCGGGGAUAACAGGCUGAUACCGCCCAAGAGUUCAUAUCGACGGCGGUGUUUGGCACCUCGAUGUCGGCUCAUCACAUCCUGGGGCUGAAGUAGGUCCCAAGGGUAUGGCUGUUCGCCAUUUAAAGUGGUACGCGAGCUGGGUUUAGAACGUCGUGAGACAGUUCGGUCCCUAUCUGCCGUGGGCGCUGGAGAAUUGAGGGGGGCUGCUCCUAGUACGAGAGGACCGGAGUGGACGCAUCACUGGUGUUCGGGUUGUCAUGCCAAUGGCAUUGCCCGGUAGCUAAAUGCGGAAGAGAUAAGUGCUGAAAGCAUCUAAGCACGAAACUUGCCCCGAGAUGAGUUCUCCCUGAGACUUUAAGUCUCCUGAAGGAACGUUAAAGACGAUGACGUUGAUAGGUCGGGUGUGUAAGUGUAGCGAUACAUUGAGCUAACCGAUACUAAUGAACCGUGAGGCUUAACCUUACAACGCCGAAG
rnacentral:rRNA from 1 species